rnacentral:misc_RNA from 1 species
GAUCAAUCCAAAAAUGUUGGACUAAAGGACUAUAUAUUGGGGAGUUAGAGAACUCCUGGUUACUGAUACUGACAGAAUCAGGAUCGUUCUGACUGAUUCCACUUGCAACUCUGGCAGGAAUGACGGAUGAAACAUUGCGCUGAAAAGAGGUAGAACAGUGUCCAUCACUUGUUCUAAGAUUCUCUACAUUAUUACUGGUGCUAGGAACCUCUCGGCUAGGAGAAUUCGAAGGGUUCAUGGUUGGCAAUAGUUGAGAAGGAUAUUGCAUAAAAAAUGUCUCAUUAUCAACUGUUACUACAUGAUCCCAAUUUUCA